rnacentral:rRNA from 1 species
AAAUUGAAGAGUUUGAUCAUGGCUCAGAUUGAACGCUGGCGGCAGGCCUAACACAUGCAAGUCGAACGGUAACAGGAAGAAGCUUGCUUCUUUGCUGACGAGUGGCGAACGGGUGAGUAAUGUCUGGGAAACUGCCUGAUGGAGGGGGAUAACUACUGGAAACGGUAGCUAAUACCGCAUAACGUCGCAAGACCAAAGAGGGGGACCUUCGGGCCUCUUGCCAUCGGAUGUGCCC